AAGUAUGGGCCCCAGCAUGACUAGAGGUGCUUUAUUUGUGCAGAACUCAGAAAUGGAAUUUCUGAUGGAGACAGUAGUGAACAGAGAACAGCUUAUUGAAUUUGUGUGCAUGCAGCACAGAGCUGAAGGAGACUGCCAGAGAAGGGAGGUUCUGAAUUUAUUGUGAUCCUAGCAACUUGGAAGAAAAGUGCAAGAUAAACAGUGUGUAAUUGAAUAAGGUAUUUGUGAGGUGUAUUUAUGGAGGAAAGACUGUGAUUCUGCUCCUCUGUCUGAACUGAAUUUAGGACUGUCCUGCUGCAACAGCGUACAGAUAACAUUUCUCCAGGUGGGAUUAUAUGCCCUAUAUUUAAAGCAAAAUAUCUGCUUAGCUGUGUGUGGUCAGGCAGGACCUGAUGUUUGCUUGCUCAAACACUGCAUGUCACUGCCUCAGUGAUCAUCUGCAUUAUCUGGGAAAUAAGUCUUCUGCUCACAGGUCAUAAUCCAGAAAAGUGUUUGACAACAAAGAUUUGAAUCUCUUAAAAUGAUAUAAAACCCUUCAAAAGUA